GCUUUUGGUCUAUGUAUUCAGUAUGGUGUGAGUUAAAACCAUAAACUAUAAACUAAGGGCUACCUUAUAUCGUUAUUAUAUAAAAGGCUGUAUUGUUUGGGAA